rnacentral:tRNA from 1 species
CCACUGCCUUGAUCCACUUGGCUACAUCCGCC